UUUGCGCUUAACAGCCAGAUUGCGGUGUGUGAAGACGAAACGAACCGAAAGUUUGCGAACACACAAAGCUAUUACAUACCCAAUUUGCUGAAGCGUUGAAAGACGACUCGGCACACCGAAUUUCUUGACGACCAUAGAGCAUUGGAACCACCUGAUCCCAUCCCGAACUCAGAAGUGAAACGAUGCAUCGCCGAUGGUAGUGUGGGGUUUCCCCAUGUGAGAGUAGGUCAUCGUCAAGA
rnacentral:rRNA from 1 species